GAUGAAGAACGUAGCGAAAUGCGAUAAGUAAUGUGAAUUGCAGAAUUCAGUGAAUCAUCGAAUCUUUGAACGCACAUUGCGCCCGCCAGUAUUCUGGCGGGCAUGCCUGUUCGAGCGUCAUUUCAACCCUCAGGCCCCGCCUGGCGUUGGGGAUCGGCUCGGCCCUCUCCGGGCUGCCGGCCCCGAAAACUAGUGGCGGUCUCGCUGUAGUCCUCCUCUGCGCAGUAGCAACGCUCGCACUGGAACUCGGCGCGGCCACGCCGUAAAACACCCCACUUCUGAAAGUUGACCUCGGAUCAGGUAGGAAUACCCGCUGAACUUAAGCAUAUCAAUAAGCGGAGGA
rnacentral:misc_RNA from 1 species